rnacentral:tRNA from 4 species
GGAGCUGUAGCAAAAGGCUUAUUGCUUAUCACUGCUGAUGAUGAAGAAAAACUCUCAAUCCUGGUUCGAGGCUAUGCUGCUUCU